CGGGGCCCGGUGACCUGUGGUGAGCUGCGGCUUCCGGGUCCCCACUUGACGUCCGGGUGCACCAAGCACACGCGCUGCGUCCCGGCAGGCAGCAGCGGCUCGCUCCGCAGCAGCUCCUCCUCCUCGUCCUCCUCGUCCUCCUCGUCUUCCUCGUCCUCGCCUGGGCGGCUUACGCGGCCCCGAUGUCGGCUCCCCAGCCCAUCCGGGUCCCCCAGGCCCCCGUGGCCGGCGGAGGCGGCAGCGAGCAGGCGUGCGGGAUGGGGCGGCAGGGGCGCCCUGGGGAGCCGGGCAGCGGAGGCCCAGGGUGGAGAGCCAGGGCGCGCGGCGAGACGGCGGCCUCGCAAGGCCCACAUGGCGCCUCUGAGCAACGCGGCGGGGCGGGGCCUCUGACGGAGCAGUCGGCGAGCGAGCGAUUGGUCCGCCGGGUCACGUGCGCGAGAGGGUGGAGCCCAGCUGGCAGGAAGGCGGGCCCGGGCGGCCGCGGUGGCCACGGAGGCCCCCCUCCCGCCCGCUCGCGCCGGGUCCCGGGCAGGGCGCAGGCUAUGCUGGAACUCGAGGGUCCUCCUGCCUCAGCCUCCCGAGCUGGGACGACCACGCGCCCUGCCGAGGCUUCCCGCCCCACUCGGGCGUCUGUCCACCUGCUGGGCGCUGGGCGGAACCCGCGCGGGGACAGGGGGCUGUGCCCACGGGGACGCCGGCGCGAGGGCCUGCUGUCCCGCCCUGGGCCGAGGCACGGACAGCGCGGGCUACCAAACCAUCUCAACUCUUUAUUCUCAACACAAACGUCGAGCCGCCCGCCGCCACGCCCAGGCGGUCCCCGCCGCGCCCCGUGACCAUGGGUGCGGGCCAGGGCGGGCGGGCAGUGUCACAGCGGCUGCAGCUCGGCCUCCGCGCACGGCAGCUCCCACAGGCGCAGGGCGCCCAGGCCGGUCCCGCCCCGAACAGCGGCCUCUGCUCCGCCUCCACGGGGCUCAGCGCCGCCUCCUCGGACCUGCAAGGCGGCAGCGUGUCGGGGACCCCGCGGAACCCCCAGCUCCCAGCCCGCCCGGAUGGGGCACAGGGACAGAGGCGCGCUGGUGGCCCCGACUCUGCUGCCUGUGGGCCGAGGCUGGGGUGGUCGGGAGAGGGGCCGGGACGGAACAGUGGCCAGGGUGGGGCCCGAGUGCCACCGUGGGGGGUGACGGAGGGAUGGCGGGACACGAGGGGGGCCCACACUGACCCGUCCUCCCACGCGUCGCCGCCGCCCUCCUCGGCCACCAGGACGCUCGUACUCCUCGGCGGCGAACCGCUCCCAGUCGGAGAGCUCGGGGCCCUGGCCGUCGCCAUCCUGAGGGACAGGGCGCGACAGGGCCCCCUGCUCCCGCUGCUACGCGCUCCAGGUACUUCUCCACGUUGAAGAAGGUAUCGAAGAAGGCGCCGGCCACCCAGGGCAGCGCUUCAGGUCCACGCAGAGCGUGACCCUCCCUGAUGGGCGGCCGGGCAGGCGGCCGGCGCUGGGCUGGGCUCGGGGGUCCUCCGCACCCCUGCCCCGCGCCCCCCGCCCCCACGCCCCUCACCUGAGCAGCGCGGGCCGCACCAGGGUCCAGCACCUGGCACACGCAGUCCUCGAAGGGCAGCGGCCGAAUGCCCAUGGCGUCCAGCCGGCAGCUCUGCUCGGCGUAGAAGAACUUCGAGCUCGAACAUGGACAGCGCGCCGUCCCCAUCCAGGUCCAUGCAGCGGAACCAGUACUCGAUGCCGCGGGCCAGGCCGGGCGGGUCAGGGGGCCGGGGCGGGGGGACCCCGACCCGGGCACCCGGGGCGGGCGCGCGAGCACCUGGUGGGCGUCGUCUUGUCCUCCCUCGGAGAUGAGGAACCACACGGGGUCGGCGUAGCUCAGCCGCCCGUCCUGCUGCACGCGCCCGGCCUCUGCGGAUGACCCGACCAAGCGCCCCGGCUCAUGGGGCUGCCCACGCCCGCGGGCAGGGGCGCUUCUGGGACCAGGGCGGGCGGGGACUCCGGGGACUCCCGACCUGACCUAC
ensembl:lncRNA